GACGAACGCUGGCGGCGUGCUUAACACAUGCAAGUCGAACGAAAAGACGGAAAGAGCUUGUCUUUUCAGAAUUGAGUGGCAAACGGGUGAGUAACACGUAAACAACCUGCUUCAGGAUGGGGACAACAGACGGAAACGACUGCUAAUACCGAAUAAGUUCCAAGAGCCGCAUGGCCCAUGGAAGAAAAGGUGGCCUCUACCUGUAAGCUAUCGCCUGAAGAGGGGUUUGCGUCUGAUUAGCUGGUUGGAGGGGUAACGGCCCACCAAGGCGACGAUCAGUAGCCGGUCUGAGAGGAUGAACGGCCACACUGGAACUGAGACACGGUCCAGACUCCUACGGGAGGCAGCAGUGGGGAAUCUUCCGCAAUGGGCGAAAGCCUGACGGAGCAACGCCGCGUGAGUGAUGACGGCUUCGGGUUGUAAAACUCUGUGAUCCGGGACGAAAGGGCGGACUGUGAAAAACAAACUGCAUUGACGGUACCGGAAAAGCAAGCCACGGCUAA
rnacentral:rRNA from 1 species